UUCUUUUCGGAGACUUAUGAUAAAAUUGGAACGAUACAGAGAAGAUUAGCAUGACCCCUACGCAAGGAUGACACGCACAAAUCGAGAAAUGGUCCAAAAUUUU
rfam:Spinacia oleracea cultivar SynViroflay scaffold35536.con0002.1, whole genome shotgun sequence.